rnacentral:rRNA from 1 species
CGGGCCAAGUCCCCUGGAACGGGGCGUCCAAGAGGGUGAGAGCCCCGUACCCUCCCGGCCGGCACGUCGCCGUGUGAAGCUCCUUCGACGAGUCGAGUUGUUUGGGAAUGCAGCUCCAAGCGGGAGGUAAAUUCCUUCUAAGGCUAAAUAUCGGCCGGAGACCGAUAGCGCACAAGUAGAGUGAUCGAAAGAUGAAAAGCACUUUGGAAAGAGAGUCAAAAAGCACGUGAAAUUGUUGAAAGGGAAGCUCUUGCCGCCAGACUUGCCGCGGUCGCUCAGCCGCCCCCCGGGGCGGCGUACUCUUCCGCGGCGGGCCAGCGUCAGCCCGGAGCGGUCGGACAAACGCGUCGGGAACGUAGCUCCCCUCGGGGAGUGUUAUAGCCCUUCGCGCCAUGCGGCCGCCCGGCCUGAGGCACGCGUUCGCGAGGACGCUGGCGUAAUGGCCGCAAGCGACCCGUCUUGAAACACGGACCAAGGAGUCUAGCAUCCACGCGAGUGUUCGGGUGUCAAACCCGCGCGCGCAAUCAACGUGAACGGAGGUGGGAACCCUCGGGGUGCACCUUCGAACGAUCCUGAUGUCCUCGGAUGGAUUUGAGUAAGAGCGUGGCCGCUGGGACCCGAAAGAUGGUGAACUAUACCUGGAUAGGGUGAAGCCAGAGGAAACUCUGGUGGAGGCUCGCAGCGGUUCUGACGUGCAAAUCGAUCGUCAAAUCUUGGUAUAGGGGCGAAAGGUGAGCGUCUAUGAGCGCCGAAACUAGAGGGAUCAGAGGGCUAACGGUUGGGUUUUUACAGACUAAUCGAACCAUCUAGUAGCUGGUUCCUGCCGAAGUUUCCCUCAGGAUAGCAGUGACGUCUUCAGUUUUAUGAGGUAAAGCGAAUGAUUAGAGGCCUUGGGGUUGAAACAACCUUAACCUAUUCUCAAACUUUAAAUAUGUAAGAAGCCCUUGUUGCUUAAUUGAACGUGGGCAUUCGAAUGCACCGUCACUAGUGGGCCAUUUUUGGUAAGCAGAACUGGCGAUGCGGGAUGAACCGAAAGCGAGGUUAAGGUGCCGGAAUGCACGCUUAUCGGAUACCACAAAAGGUGUUAGUUGAUCUUGACAGCCGGACGGUGGCCAUGGAAGUCGGAACCCGCUAAGGAUAGUGGUUAGUACCCCGACGUGCCCCCGAUCGUCCCGUCACAGACACGCUGACAGCCCCCCGACAGUAACAACUCACCGGCCGAAUCAACUAGCCCUGAAAAUGGAUGGCGCUCAAGCGUGCUACCCACACCUCGCCGCCGGGGCAGGAACGAUGCCCCGGCGAGUAGGCAGGCGCGGGGGU